rnacentral:rRNA from 1 species
GUAGGGAAUAUUGGGCAAUGGAGGCAACUCUGACCCAGCCAUGCCGCGUGCAGGAUGAAGGCGCUCAGCGUUGUAAACUGCUUUUAUUGGUGAAGAACUAUCGGGAUGCGUCCUGAUUUGACGGUAGCCAAGGAAUAAGCACCGGCUAACUCCGUGCCAGCAGCCGCGGUAAUACGGAGGGUGCAAGCGUUGUCCGGAUUUAUUGGGUUUAAAGGGUGCGUAGGUGGUUGUCUAAGUCUGGUUUGAAAGCUGGUGGCUUAACCAUCAGAUGUGGCUGGAAACUGGAGAACUUGAAUGGGUUGGCGGUAGCCGGAACGGGUCAUGUAGCGGUGAAAUGCAUAGAUAUGACCCAGAACACCGAUUGCGAAGGCAGGCUACUACGACUUGAUUGACACUGAGGCACGAGAGCAUGGGUAGCGAACAGG